UACGUAGGGACCAAGCGUUGUUCGGAUUUACUGGGCGUAAAGGGCUCGUAGGCGGCCAACUAAGUCCGACGUGAAAUCCCCAGGCUUAACCUGGGAACUGCGUCGGAUACUGGAUGGCUUGAAUCCGGGAGAGGGAUGCGGAAUUCCAGGUGUAGCGGUGAAAUGCGUAGAUAUCUGGAGGAACACCGGUGGCGAAGGCGGCAUCCUGGACCGGCAUUGACGCUGAACAGCGAAAGCCAGGGGAGCAAACAGG
rnacentral:rRNA from 1 species